rnacentral:rRNA from 1 species
CGAACGCUGGCGGCAGGCUUAACACAUGCAAGUCGAGCGCCCCGCAAGGGGAGCGGCAGACGGGUGAGUAACGCGUGGGAACGUACCCUUUACUACGGAACAACUCCGGGAAACUGGAGCUAAUACCGUAUGUGCCCUUUGGGGGAAAGAUUUAUCGGUAAAGGAUCGGCCCGCGUUGGAUUAGCUAGUUGGUGGGGUAAAGGCCUACCAAGGCGACGAUCCAUAGCUGGUCUGAGAGGAUGAUCAGCCACAUUGGGACUGAGACACGGCCCAAACUCCUACGGGAGGCAGCAGUGGGGAAUAUUGGACAAUGGGCGCAAGCCUGAUCCAGCCAUGCCGCGUGAA